ensembl:lncRNA
UCUCUUUCAUAUCUAGGUACACAUCAGGCAAAUGCAGUUGUUGGUUUUUCCUAUUUCUUUUGACCUGCCAGGCUGAAUCCAAGUCUUUUUGCCAAUAGCUUGUGGGAAGUUAUAGGAAGACAUCCUUAAUUGUCUUCUGUCUCAGCCUGGAAUAUGCCAGGCCCACAAGCAUGUUAUACCCAGCUGUUUCUUUUCUUCACUAUCUGAAUGUGCUUUGUUCAGCUAAUGUUGUUGCUGAGAUCCACAGACCGAAGCGCUAUUUAAGAAAUGGACCUGUAACAAGAAUUAUUGGUGAGAACACAGUGCCCCUGAUCCUCAAUAUAAAAGAAACAUACAAACAAGCAACAAUUCCAAGUGAAAGACUUGUGCGAAGUCAUGAGAGAAGAUACAUGGUAGAGUUUUAGGAUCUCUGAAAACUUUGAUGGUUUUCAGAAUUGCGAUGCUAAGUUUGAGGUACCUCCAGGACUCUCCUGUCAUCAUUCAUCGAACUGGAGGAAGGAUUUUUUCCUCUGUGUAGGAUGAGAACUGAUUUUCAGUGCCUACAGAUGAAUGUUACUGUGUCUUGUAAAUAUGCAUGUAAGUAAGCCCAAACUUUGAAGACUUUUUUUGGUUCUCGGGGAUUAACAAAAACUUCACCACGUCAAACACAUAUGUGUAUAUGUAGGUUGUCAAGAGAAUCUCUGCUAAAAUAAUAAAGAUGAAAUAAAAUAAAGAAUGUUAAAAUCUCACAAAAAUCAUCAACUUGUGCAGAAUUAGCAGCCCAAAAAAUAAACAUUCCGAGAAUUUCUUGCAAGAAUCUAAGAAAUUGUUCAAUUUAGC